rnacentral:rRNA from 1 species
AGUGAGCGCUGGCGGUAGGCCUAACACAUGCAAGUCGAACGGCAGCACAGUAAGAGCUUGCUCUUACGGGUGGCGAGUGGCGGACGGGUGAGGAAUACAUCGGAAUCUACUUUUUCGUGGGGGAUAACGUAGGGAAACCUACGCUAAUACCGCAUACGACCUACGGGUGAAAGCAGGGGAUCUUCGGACCUUGCGCGAUUGAAUGAGCCGAUGUCGGAUUAGCUAGUUGGCGGGGUAAAGGCCCACCAAGGCGACGAUCCGUAGCUGGUCUGAGAGGAUGAUCAGCCACACUGGAACUGAGACACGGUCCAGACUCCUACGGGAGGCAGCAGUGGGGAAUAUUGGACAAUGGGCGCAAGCCUGAUCCAGCCAUACCGCGUGGGUGAAGAAGGCCUUCGGGUUGUAAAGCCCUUUUGUUGGGAAAGAAAAGCAGCAGGUUAAUACCCCGCUGUUCUGACGGUACCCAAAGAAUAAGCACCGGCUAACUUCGUG